rnacentral:rRNA from 1 species
UACGGGGGUGCGAGCGUUGUCCGGAAUCACUGGGCGUAAAGGGCGCGUAGGUGGUUUGAUAAGGGUGUGGUGAAAGUCCGGGGCUCAACCCCGGAUCUGCCGUGCCGACUGUCAAACUCGAGGGCUGUAGAGGCAGACGGAAUUCCGGGUGUAGCGGUGGAAUGCGUAGAGAUCCGGAGGAAGACCGGUGGCGAAGGCGGUCUGCUGGGCAGUUCUGACACUGAUGCGCGACAGCGUGGGAGCAACAGG